GACGAACGCUGGCGGCGUGCCUAAUACAUGCAAGUUGAGCGCUGAAGGUUGGUACUUGUACCAACUGGAUGAGCAGCGAACGGGUGAGUAACGCGUGGGGAAUCUGCCUUUGAGCGGGGGACAACAUUUGGAAACGAAUGCUAAUACCGCAUAAAAACUUUAAACACAAGUUUUAAGUUUGAAAGAUGCAAUUGCAUCACUCAAAGAUGAUCCCGCGUUGUAUUAGCUAGUUGGUGAGGUAAAGGCUCACCAAGGCGAUGAUACAUAGCCGACCUGAGAGGGUGAUCGGCCAAGUUGGGACGGGGGCACGGCCCAAACUCCUACGGGAGGCAGCAGUAGGGAAUCUUCGGCAAUGGCCGAAAGUCUGACCGAGCAACGCCGCGUGAGUGAAGAAGGUUUUCGGAUCGUAAAACUCUGUUGGUAGAGAAGAACGUUGGUGAGAGUGGAAAGCUCAUCAAGUGACGGUAACUACCCAGAAAGGGACGGCUAACUACGUG
rnacentral:rRNA from 1 species